rnacentral:lncRNA from 1 species
GAUGGUGUAUAGCCAAAACAACAAUUGGAUACUGCUCUGAUUUAAAUAUUAUACAAUGCUCAAAUGUUAUACACAAACAGGAUCAAGAUGAACACAUAUUGCACAAGCAUUGAUAAUAUGUUCACAAACAUAAAUAUAUAUUGAUCAGAAGUUCAAAAACAAGACAAUCUUGACAAAGCAAAGUUUGGCCAUUUUGACCACCAUCCAGAAAACACAAGCCACAUAAAAGGACCACUAUUUACUGUUCUAAAAGUGUUCAGCCACUAAAUGUUCCAAAACACUUAAGUCACACCCAUGAGCACAAGAUAUAUGCUCCAAAACACUUGAAGUAGCAAAUGGUCCAGAACACACAUAAGAUUCAUGAUCACAAGUUGGCUGGUCCAAAAUACUGGAAACAGCCAAAUGCUGCAGAACACUCCAAAGUCAUCACAUCCAUGCGCAGUAGGUGGCUGAGUACCUGAAAAUAUUCCACACGAUCUUAAUGAUAACAGUCUAAUGAAAAUAUGCUCAGUUAAUAUCUAACAUAAGUGCAAAUAUAAUUUUGUAUUGAAACCUAAUUAAGAUAGACAUGUAUCAAAUGCUUUAUUCCAAAGUGGAUUCAUAAAAGUUAUUAAUAAUAUGGAGGAAAUUGUCAUAGGUAUCUUGAGGCUUUCGGUCAAAUUCUCAUAUGUUCCAACUGAAUGCGGCUGCAAACAUAAAUGUGUGGGUGAAAAGAAAUGGUCAAAUUCUCAUAUAUUCACCCAAAUGAUUUUGUGCACUUCAAAGUUUGAAAAUAAAUGUGAAAAACAAUUGUGGUCGUAUGUUAUCUGAUGAACUAGAAUUAAAAUGUACAGCUUCAGACCAAAAAAACUGCAGUAUGUGAAGUUCUGUAUACGCCAUGUCAUCUUUAGAUUGUGACCAUCAAAGUGUUAACACGAAACUAAUUAGAAAGUAGGCCAAGCGACUCCAAGCAUGUCUUACAUAUAUGCUAACUACGGAGCAAUGUAUAUGAGCAUCAGAUUACAUCAUGUGAUUUCAUAUUUUUAAUUUUAAAACUGCAGUAUGUGGAGUUCAGUUCUAUAUACAAGACACAAAAAGUAAUCUAAUGAUGCUAUUUCUUAUGCCAACUUCUUAUAUACCAGACACAAAACAUACUCACAUCUCUUAUUUCUUAUGCAAACUAUUCCAGUUCAUAGGCUGCUUCUUCCACUGCACGUUGCUCUGAAAAUGUGAAGACAUGCAUCAACCACCCUGUAAAAAUGAAAACUAUGUUUAAUAAUAUAGAUAACUCGGCUGACCAUCAAUCAAAUUAGAAAGUAGGCCAAGGGACUGCAAG